CCAGGAAGAGGGCUCUAACCAGAACCUGAACCGGUCACACCUUUUCUUGGACUUCCCAGCCUCCACAACUGUGAGAAAUAAAUUUCUAUUGUUUUAAGCUCCCCCAUUUAAGGUAUUUUGUUAUGGCAGCCCAAGCAUAGUAAGACGAUAAUCUUAAGUACUGUAUUUAAAACUCCAAUAAAAAAAAUAUAAAUAAUAAAUAAAUAAAUAAAUAAAUAAAUAAAUAAAUAAAUAAAUUUGUAAAACCAAAAAAAAAUAAAACCACAGAGGUGAUGGUUAGACAAAGUUAGAUUGACAAUAAAAAUGGCUACAUAAUAAAAGGAGAGAGAAGUGAGAGUUGAAGAAUUUUUUUUUUAAUUCCAAUAUUUCAUUGCAGCCUGUAAAUGGAUGAGAUCUGUCGCUGGUAAAUCAAAACAGCACUGAACCCAUAAUAUUUGGAUAAAGAGUUAAGCACUUGCAGAAUAAAAAAUAUAAAUAAUUGAAGAUGAUUUUCUCUGAAGACUACUCAGUGGAAAGAAGGGGGAGAAAAGUAGCCCCUUUUCUUCAAGAGGAUUACAUUAAAAUUUUCAACAUAGCCUACAAGGUCCAUCAUAUUCUGCUUCCUAUCCAGUUUUGUAGUUGAUCAACAAAACUUCUUAAAUCUCAUACAUCCUCAGUAUAACACUUUCUUAUUUAAUACUUCUUCUGUGAUGCGCAAUCCUAAAAGAUGUUAAUAUAUCCUACAAAAGUCUUCAUAUUCAAACCAGCCCCAUUGGGCCUUCUUGUCCUCAGAUUUGCAUUCCAAUCUCCAAAUAUCUGCCUUAGGAUUCCUCAUCAGUAUUUGGCUGAUUCAUAAGCUGCAGUGUGUGUAGGGUGAAAUUCCAGGAAAUCUAUUAAAGAAUAACUCAUGGGAGACUAAAAUUUGAACAGAUAUUACAAAAUUUUCAUUGUUGGAGAUAUAACUGGCUUUUUUACCCAGCCAGUGUAAAGAGACCUUUGAAAAUAUCGCAGAUAUUCAUUUAACUCCUAUGUCAUAGGAGUCAAGACCAUUCUUAAGAAUAAGUUCUCUCCUCUAGGAGUAAGAUCAAAAUUGGGCAUAGACACAUGCUAACAAAGUCUGUAUCCAAAGCUAAAAAGGAUCAAGUAAAGCCACUAGUAUUUUGACUAGUAUCCACUGGUGAUUUGAUUGCCUGCCAAAACAGAACAUGACAUUAUUUAGAGUAAGUUAAACUUUAAAGAAUCUACUGAGUAUAACUGAUAAUAGAAAGUCUAAAUAAAAUAAUUCUAGACAAGCA
rnacentral:lncRNA from 12 species